CUGAGCAGCUUUUGGGAUUUCCAGGGAGAUUCCUCAAGGACUUCUCCUCAUUUUAGCAAGGGCAGGCACACUUGGCCAGUAAAGAAAAUCCCCCCAGCAGAGAAUUGCAGAUACUCACAGCAAGAAGCCUUUCUUGUGAAUGGAGGAUGGAUGUGGAGCUGGUCCGAGCAGUCUGCCUACUGCAUCUGCUAUGACACCCAGCAAACUGGAAGGGAAAAGCAGUUACAAAGUUUCCAACCAGCACAAAUUCCAUAGUCAGGUUUUCCACAUGUGGGGAAAUGACAGGGGUCAGCACAUCCAACGUGCAAUGGACAAGCCUUGCACUGGGUAAACCACGUUCAUGGUCAUGGAAUCUCAUUUACCAGGUCCUGUGUAUUCUUCCUUUUGAUGAAGUUUGAGAAUGAAAGCUAUGAAAUUGGAUGAAAGUGUCUCAAACCACAACUAAGAAGCACUUCAACGGACCAGAGGUCAAGUAACUUU
rnacentral:lncRNA from 10 species